rnacentral:rRNA from 1 species
CAGCCGCCGCGGGAAUACGAAGGGUGCAAGCGUUACUCGGAAUUACUGGGCGUAAAGCGUGCGUAGGUGGUGGUUUAAGUCCGUUGUGAAAGCCCUGGGCUCAACCUGAGAAUUGCAGUGGGCACUGGAUCACUAGAGUGUGGUAGAGGAUAGUGGAAUUUCCGGUGUAGCAGUGAAAUGCGUAGAGAUCGGAAGGAACAUCUGUGGCGAAGGCGACUAUCUGGGCCAACACUGACACUGAGGCACGAAAGCGUGGGGAGCAAACAGGAUUAGAUACCCGAGUAGUCCCUGUCUCUUAUAC